CACCUGUCCUGAAAGCCCAGGAACGGGCGACUCCCCACCCCCACUCAUCCCCACUCAGGGCCCACUCUGGCUCCAGCUCGGUGCCUGGAAUCUGCAGCUCCCUCCAGGCGGCCUGGACUGCCCUGUCAGCUGUCCUUUGCCCCCGGGGGGUCGGUCAGUUGAGUCUGGGGGUGGGGAGUCCGCCAGGGCUCUUGGCCUCUCUUUCUUCCCGUUCCCUCUCUCUAGCUCUCUCUCUCUGGGGCCUCUUUUCGGUCCACUGCACAUAGACAAGUCAUUUCUUGGCUCCAGGGGGCCAAGGAAUGAAAAAAAAAAACCAAAAAAAAAAAAAAAAUCCCCAACAGCUGUAUUUGCAUAUUAUUAGCAUAAAGAAACUGUAUUAGCAUGAGUGUAUUUUCAGCUCCUCCGUCCUCCAAACCUGCCCCAUCCUCUCUAAGUUUGGUACAUAAAUGUCCUAUCCAGUCGCUAGGACAAAGGGAAAUCUUGGGGGUGGUGUUCGGAAAGGGGUUUUGCGCUGUGGCCAGAGGGGAGCGAAAUAGCCCCAGCAAGAAAUCUGCAGUCCUGGGAGCGAGAGGUUGGAAAAUUCAACUCUGCAAGCCUGGCAUUGUUAGCACAGGGGGUGCUGCCAGAGUCCCCUCACCUCCAACAACGUCAGAGGAGGGAGAAAAGGACUGGACAGGAGCAUGGUGAAGGGGACAGGGAAGAGAAGCCAAGCAGUUAGACACCCAACUUGGAGAGGAGAGGCAGGGUCCUGCCAGGACCCGGGACACUCAAGGAUCCUGAGGUGUGUGGAAUGCCCUCCCUUUGCCAUGGCUCUGUGGGAUCUUGUUUCCACUCAUAAAUUCGUGGAAGUGGAGCUGAGAUGAGGCUGGGUUUGUCUGUCCACUUCCCACUGGGCAGCCAAGGGUACAGGAGAGGAGCCACGAGAAAGCCUGACUCUCAGGCCAUCUUGCACAGAGACUGAACUGAUGGAGAAAUCGAGAGCCUUGCUCCUGGGGGUCUUAAGAAGAAGCAUCUUCCAAAUGGCUCAAGAGAUACUUCUUCCAGGCAGCAGGAGAUGGGUUAUGAGCCACUUCUUUCCUUGGAGUAAAAGAUAAGGGAGCCUGCUUCUCCCUCUGCCUGUGUCUCUGCCUCUCUCUGUCUCUCAUGAAUAAAUAAAAUCUUAAAAAAAAAAGGGGGGGGGGA
rnacentral:lncRNA from 12 species